AAAAGGUUUCACAAUUUUAUCGGCCAUUUUGUAGGAAACUGAAUUUAUCGAGCAACUACAGGUAUAUACGGUAUUAUAUUGCGCGUAUGGGGUGUAUUGGCAUACGCAGUCAUGUGUGUGUGUAUAGUCACGUGCAUAUACCUAAUAUAUACAUGUGUAAAUAUUCGGGCGGCAUAUCUAUAUAUACACAGUUUGGGCAUUACAUACAAAUGUGCGUGCGGCUGCACUUACCUCGCGAUCGAGCGGUUUCGCAAGUGUGAUGGUUCCGGUUUUUGGAUCAACGGCAAAUUUGUCGGUCAGUUGAAUUCCGUAUUUGACCGGUGAGUUUUCAGGGUCGUGCCCCUUCAGUGUGAAGACCGUGGACCCCACCGGCGUCCCUUCGUAGAGAGGAAGGCCAGUCGGAUAUCCGCCGGUUUCUAGGACGGGUGGUUCGUUUACGUUGCUUCCCGCAGC
rnacentral:misc_RNA from 1 species